rnacentral:rRNA from 1 species
ACGAACGCUGGCGGCGUGCUUAACACAUGCAAGUCGAACGGAAAGGCCCCUUUGGGGGUACUCGAGUGGCGAACGGGUGAGUAACACGUGAGUAACCUGCCCUUGACUUCGGGAUAACUUCAGGAAACUGGGGCUAAUACCGGAUAGGAAUCCUUGCUGCAUGGUGGGGGUUGGAAAGCUUCGGCGGUUUUGGAUGGACUCGCGGCUUAUCAGCUUGUUGGUGGGGUAGUGGCUUACCAAGGCUUUGACGGGUAGCCGGCCUGAGAGGGCGACCGGCCACAUUGGGACUGAGAUACGGCCCAGACUCCUACGGAAGGCAGCAGUGGGGAAUAUUGCACAAUGGGCGGAAGCCUGAUGCAGCAACGCCGCGUGCGGGAUGACGGCCUUCGGGUUGUAAACCGCUUUCAGCAGGGGCGAAGCUUGUGGUGACGGUACCUGCAGAAGAAGCACCGGCUAACUACGUG